rnacentral:rRNA from 1 species
AUUGAACGCUGGCGGCAGGCCUAACACAUGCAAGUCGAGCGGAUGAGUGGAGCUUGCUCCAUGAUUCAGCGGCGGACGGGUGAGUAAUGCCUAGGAAUCUGCCUGGUAGUGGGGGACAACGUUUCGAAGGGAACGCUAAUACCGCAUACGUCCUACGGGAGAAAGCAGGGGACCUUCGGGCCUUGCGCUAUCAGAUGAGCCUAGGUCGGAUUAGCUAGUAGGUGAGGUAAUGGCUCACCUAGGCGACGAUCAGUAACUGGUCUGAGAGGAUGAUCAGUCACACUGGAACUGAGACACGGUCCAGACUCCUACGGGAGGCAGCAGUGGGGAAUAUUGGACAAUGGGCGAAAGCCUGAUCCAGCCAUGCCGCGUGUGUGAAGAAGGUCUUCGGAUUGUAAAGCACUUUAAGUUGGGAGGAAGGGCAGUAAGUUAAUACCUUGCUGUUUUGGCGUUACCAACAGAAUAAGCACCGGCUAACUUCGUGCCAGCAGCCGCGGUAAAAC